GAUGAAGAACGUAGCGAAAUGCGAUAAGUAAUGUGAAUUGCAGAAUUCAGUGAAUCAUCGAAUCUUUGAACGCACAUUGCGCCCGCCAGUAUUCUGGCGGGCAUGCCUGUUCGAGCGUCAUUUCAACCAUCAAGCCCCAGGCUUGUGUUGGGGACCUGCGGCUGCCGCAGGCCCUGAAAACCAGUGGCGGGCUCGCUGUCACACCGGGCGUAGUAGAUUUUAUCUCGCUCAGGGCGUGCUGCGGGUUCCGGCCGUUAAAAAGCCUUUUUUACCCAAGGUUGACCUCGGAUCAGGCAGGGAUACCCGCUGAACUUAAGCAUAUCAAUAAGCGGAGGA
rnacentral:misc_RNA from 1 species